rnacentral:lncRNA from 1 species
GCACAUCGCCUGUGUUCUCCCGAAGCAUCCAGUCGCCCCGUCCGCCCCCCGAAUUAGAUGAAUCAGAGGUGGUGACGGCAUGGCAGCGAGUCUCCUCCCGGCUGCCCGCUCUGGCCAGUUUUGAACGUCGGCCUGCAGCGGCGCAUCGAGAGGGAUUUCCAAGCCAAGUCUGGAUUCCCCAGAAGAGACUGUGAUCGAUUACUGAUGUCUGCUGUGGGCAAGCCAUGGGAGCCUGGCCGCUCCCCAGGUGCAGCCUUACCGACCGGGCCCCUGGGUUCUCGUCCUGGCUGCUCCCUGGAGGAAUCGACUUCCCCUUUUGAAGCUUGCCACCCGGUCGGGAUGACACAGGUGCCAUCUGACCCGGGUCAUCAUAGGGAAGAGGCGAGAGAAGAGCCGGCCCAGGCUGCGGUGGCGGUGACAGAUGAGCCUCGGAAGCCCGCUUCAGCCUCUGGAGGGGGGCUCCCUACGUUCCUCUCCCACGUGGACUCGGCCCCAGAGCCCCAGAGGCUCCCGGCUUUCUUAACGCGAGCUGUUGCCUCGCCCGCUGCACGUGAGUCCUCACCCCAGCGGCAGCGAGAACCCGGGUCGCCUCCUCCUUCCCCUCGUGGCGCCCCUCCCAGCCCUCCUACCUGCUGGCGGGUAGCCUUUCCACCUGCUGGGACAGCUGCCGGCUUGGACUUCAGGGCACGUGUGCCCCUGCUCAGCGGUCUGUGUCUCGACGGUCCCUCUGCCAUCUCUGGAACGUUCCUGGGAUUUGACUGGGGGCUACUCCGCUCUUGCCCUGGCGAGACCGCCCUGCCCAGGUCCCUGGCUCAGUCCCGGGCCACUUCACUGGGAUGUGGAUCCCUGCACGGGCCGGCGGCUGUGCAGGGACGGGGUUCGGGGUCGGGGGUGGGGUGGGGGGCUUCCCUGUCUGCCCCGGGCUCCUGGGCCCUGGACCAGGACUGUGGUGGGUGGAUCAUUCCAGGGCCUCCGCUCUUCUCUUGCCAUCACCAUAUGCCUCCCCCUCCCCUUGCCAUCUCUUCCCUUCCCUGA